rnacentral:pre_miRNA from 1 species
AGGUAUUUGUGUGAGAAUGGUGUUAAACACAGAGAGAGGUAUGCUUACCAACGUGAGGAUGGUGUUCAGCACCAGGGACAGGCAUAUUUACAU